rnacentral:rRNA from 1 species
AGAGUUUGAUCCUGGCUCAGGAUGAACGCUGGCGGCGUGCUUAACACAUGCAAGUCGAACGGAGUUUAUACGGAAGGAGUCUUCGGACAACGGAAGUAUAAACUUAGUGGCGGACGGGUGAGUAACGCGUGGGUAACCUGCCUUAUACAAGGGGAUAACAGAGGGAAACUUCUGCUAAUACCGUAUAAAAAUAUUUUACGCAUGUAAGAUAUUUGAAAGAUUUAUCAGUAUGAGAUGGACCCGCGUCUGAUUAGGUAGUUGGUGAGGUAGAGGCUCACCAAGCCGACGAUCGGUAGCCGAUCUGAGAGGAUGACCGGCCACAUUGGGACUGAGACACGGCCCAAACUCCUACGGGAGGCAGCAGUGGGGAAUAUUGGACAAUGGGGGCAACCCUGAUCCAGCGACGCCGCGUGAGUGAAGAAGUAUUUCGGUAUGUAAAGCUCUAUCAGCAGGGAAGAAAAUGACGGUACCUGACUAAGAAGCCCCGGCUAACUACGUGCCAGCAGCCGCGGUAAUACGUAGGGGGCAAGCGUUAUCCGGAUUUACUGGGUGUAAAGGGAGCGUAGACGGCAAAUAAAGUCUGAAGUGAAAACCCGCAGCUCAACUGCGGAGUUGCUUUGGAAACUUAUAAGCUGGAGUGUCGGAGGGGUAAGCGGAAUUCCCAGUGUAGCGGUGAAAUGCGUAGAUAUUGGGAGGAACACCGGAGGCGAAGGCGGCUUACUGGAAGAUAACUGACGUUGAGGCUCGAAGGCGUGGGUAGCAAACAGGAUUAGAUACCCUGGUAGUCCACGCAGUAAACGAUGAAUACUAGGUGUCGGGAGGGAAUAACCUUUUCGGUGCCGUCGCAAACGCAAUAAGUAUUCCACCUGGGGAGUACGUUCGCAAGAAUGAAACUCAAAGGAAUUGACGGGGACCCGCACAAGCGGUGGAGCAUGUGGUUUAAUUCGAAGCAACGCGAAGAACCUUACCAAGUCUUGACAUGCCGUUGACGUACCCGUAACGGGGUAUUUCCUUCGGGACAACGGACACAGGUGGUGCAUGGUUGUCGUCAGCUCGUGUCGUGAGAUGUUGGGUUAAGUC